GUGGCAGGGGCGGCGGUAAUACGUAGGGUGCGAGCGUUAAUCGGAAUUACUGGGCGUAAAGCGUGCGCAGGCGGAUUGUUAAGCAAGAUGUGAAAUCCCCGGGCUUAACCUGGGAAUGGCAUUUUGAACUGGCAGUCUAGAGUGUGUCAGAGGGGGGUGGAAUUCCACGUGUAGCAGUGAAAUGCGUAGAUAUGUGGAGGAACACCAAUGGCGAAGGCAGCCCCCUGGGAUAACACUGACGCUCAUGUACGAAAGCGUGGGUAGCAAACAGGAUUAGAUACCCUGGUAGUCCACGCCCUAAACGAUGUCAACUGGUUGUUGGGGGAGUGAAAUCCCUUAGUAACGAAGCUAACGCGUGAAGUUGACCGCCUGGGGAGUACGGUCGCAAGAUUAAAACUCAAAGGAAUUGACGGGGACCCGCACAAGCGGUGGAUGAUGUGGAUUAAUUCGAUGCAACGCGAAAAACCUUACCUACCCUUGACAUGUCCAGAAUCCUGCAGAGAUGCGGGAGUGCCCGAAAGGGAAUUGGAACACAGGUGCUGCAUGGCUGUCGUCAGCUCGUGUCGUGAGAUGUUGGGUUAAGUCCCGCAACGAGCGCAACCCUUAUCAUUAGUUGCUACGCAAGGGCACUCUAAUGAGACUGCCGGUGACAAACCGGAGGAAGGUGGGGAUGACGUCAAGUCCUCAUGGCCCUUAUGGGUAGGGCUUCACACGUCAUACAAUGGUCGGUACAGAGGGUUGCCAAGCCGCGAGGUGGAGCCAAUCCCAGAAAGCCGAUCGUAGUCCGGAUUGUUCUCUGCAACUCGAGAGCAUGAAGUCGGAAUCGCUAGUAAUCGCGGAUCAGCAUGUCGCGGUGAAUACGUUCCCGGGUCUUGUACACACCGCCCGUCACACCAUGGGAGUGGAAUCUGCCAGAAGUAGGUAGCCUAACCGCAAGGAGGGCGCUUACCACGGUGGGUUUCAUGACUGGGGUGAAGUCGUAACAAGGUAACC
rnacentral:rRNA from 1 species